rnacentral:tRNA from 1 species
UCCCUGGUGGCUCAGAUGGUAAAGAAUCUGCCCGCAAUGCAGGAGACCCAGGUUUGAUCCCUGGAUUGGGAA